rnacentral:rRNA from 1 species
UACGUAGGGUGCGAGCGUUGUCCGGAAUUACUGGGCGUAAAGAGCUCGUAGGUGGUUUGUCGCGUUGUCCGUGAAAACUCACAACUCAAUUGUGGGCGUGCGGGCGAUACGGGCAGACUGGAGUACUGCAGGGGGAGACUGGAAUUCCUGGUGUAGCGGUGGAAUGCGCAGAUAUCAGGAGGAACACCGGUGGCGAAGGCGGGUCUCGUGGGCCGAAACUGACGCUGAGGAGCGAAAGCGUGGGGAGCGAACAGGAUAGAACCCU